GCCAGUUGCCUCUCUACUCUGCAAUCUAGGAGGAAAAAAGUUUCACCCAAGGACAAAUCAGAUUAGGUAGAUAUGAAGAGGUGUCAACUUAAAACAGCAAGGAGAAAAGGAAAGGAAGAGUUAAGGGUUAUCAGUAGACAUGUGAUUUGGCCACUUUUCUGGAAGAUGGAAAAUGGAUGUUGGUGGAUUAAAACCAUAGCCCAGAGUGUGCUGAAGAAGAUCCUCCUCAAUCUCUCAUCUGAUGGCUGUGCAGUUGGAAAGCUAGCUCCUUACCAGCUCUUCCUGAAAAUAAACCUGCCUGUCGAGUGUUCUUCCUAG
rnacentral:lncRNA from 1 species